rnacentral:rRNA from 1 species
UACGUAGGGAGCAAGCGUUGUCCGGAAUCAUUGGGCGUAAAGCGCGCGUAGGUGGCUUCGUAAGUCCGCUGUGAAAGUCAAAGGCUCAACCUUUGAAAGCCGGUGGAUACUGUGAAGCUAGAGUACGGAAGAGGCGAGUGGAAUUCCUGGUGUAGCGGUGGAAUGCGCAGAUAUCAGGAGGAACACCAAUAGCGAAGGCAGCUCGCUGGGACGUUAACUGACACUGGAGGCGCGAAAGCGUGGGGAGCGAACAGG